rnacentral:rRNA from 1 species
UACAGAGGUCUCAAGCGUUGUUCGGAUUCAUUGGGCGUAAAGGGUGCGUAGGCGGCGCGGUAAGUCGGGUGUGAAAUCUCGGAGCUUAACUCCGAAACUGCAUUCGAUACUGCCGUGCUUGAGGACUGGAGAGGAGACUGGAAUUUACGGUGUAGCGGUGAAAUGCGUAGAUAUCGUAAGGAAGACCAGUGGCGAAGGCGGGUCUCUGGACAGUUCCUGACGCUCAUGCACGAAGGCCAGGGGAGCAAACGGG